UACGGAGGAUGCAAGCGUUAUCCGGAAUGAUUGGGCGUAAAGCGUCCGCAGGUGGCUGUGUAAGUCUGCUGUUAAAGAGUGAGGCUCAACCUCAUAAAGGCAGUGGAAACUACAUGGCUAGAGUGCGUUCGGGGCAGAGGGAAUUCCUGGUGUAGCGGUGAAAUGCGUAGAGAUCAGGAAGAACACCGGUGGCGAAAGCGUUCUGCUAGACCUGUACUGACACUGAGGGACGAAAGCUAGGGAGCGAAUGGG
rnacentral:rRNA from 1 species